ACAAAAUGGAUAAAGAUAGAGAGAAAGAUUUAACAAGAACCUAUUGAGAAACUGAACCUGAUUUAACGAUAGCGACUAAUCAUUAUGUAAUAACAAUUGGAAACAAUACAUGAAAAAUUUAACGAUAACCUAUUGAGAAACUGAACCUGAUUUAACGAUAACCUAUUGAGAAACUGAACCUGAUUUAACGAUAGCGACUAAUCAUUAUCAUUAUGUAAUAACAAUUGGAAACAAUACAUGAAAAAUUUAACGAUAACCUAUUGAGAAACUGAACCUGAUUUUGAAGAUCGAAUGAAUCUGAAUGUUGAAACGGAACAAAGCUUGAAUAACGAGAUUUAGGGAUUGAAGGUUGAAUACCUAGAAUUUGAAUGUUGAAUGAAACUUGAAUCAAACACAAAUUGCUCAGAGAAUAACAAAAUGGAGAGAGAGAGAGAGAGAGAGAUUUCACUUACAGCUCCGAAGAAGUAGAAGAAGAAACGAAAUCUGAUUCGCGAUUAGCUCCGAAGACGAAACGAAAUCGUAACUUGCUUUUGCUUCAUUGCGCUUUUGUGCUUGUUUGUUUUGGGGUUGAAAUGGGUUUAUUGAUGAACGCAGAGAGAGAGUGUUAUAUUUAUGCCUCUUCUUAUUCCAAUCAAAUUCUGCCAGCUCAGCACAGUUACAACAAACUCCUAGCCUCACUAAUGAUUCCUAAGCUAAGUCCUGAGCUGACUAAUUACUCCUAAGCUAACUGUUUAAGCUUAAUCAAAACUUACUCAAUUACAUAUUACGUAUCAAUUACAUUGAGGCAUAUACACUGAUAGGGUUAAACGCGCUAAUCGUGAGUUUUCAAUUUUCUAAAUGAAGCUAAUAGUACAUCUUUUCAUUAUUCCAUUAUUAUCUUUCUUUUUUUUCUUUUACGUUCUUAUUAAUUGUAAAUUUCACUUCGCAAUUAUUUUGUUUUAAACGGUUUAUCGCGAAAUGUAUUUAAGCAAUUCAUAAGAUAUAAUAUCUCAAAUUUAACAUUGAGCAUUAAAUCAAAUUUCUCAAACAAUAUUUAAAAAGAAUACAUAUAAAUAAUAUUAAAGAAAAAAUUAUCCCGUAUAUGGUACGGACUAACAUACUAGUUUAAUUCAUACUCAUCAUGUAAUAUAUAUAUGCAUCAUCCAUCAUUUUUAUAUUAUUCAUUCAUAUAUAUGCAUCGUAAAUCAUUCAUGAUAUUCAUGUUUAAAUUCUCUGAGGCGACGACUUGUCUUUAGGAUCUAAGUGAAGAAUUUAAACUAGCCUUAAAUCAUAGAUGCAUGAUUAUAGCAUAUCUACUUUAAUUAUAUAGAUUAAGGAAAGUAAUUGUGUAUCUAUGAGAUUUUGAUUUAGAGAAGUAAAUGAGGUUGAGAGUUUUUUUACCUCUCACUGAUGAGAUAGAGUAGUUGUCAGAAUGUCUUGACCUGAUGGGAUGGUUAACAUGUAUAUUUAUUAGUGGGGCAGGGACCUCUCAACAGGCUUACUAUGAGAAACGGCUCAACCCAUCACGACCUGUUCCUAAACACAGCCCAUUAACAAAUAUCCAUUUAAUUAUAAACUUUAGUGCAAUAUUAUAAUUAGAAUAUAAAUAGUUGAUAUAAUAAUUUAUAAAUAUUUUAAUUGUUGAUUAAGGUUAAUCCAUAAAAUCCAACAAUUCUCCCACUUGGAUAACCUUAAUCAAUUAUUAAAACAUAAGAAUCAUGAAUUAAAAAACUAUCAACUAUUUAUCUAAGCACUUGUUAUUAUAACAGUAUAGGAAACACAAGUUUUAACAAUGCAAAAAUUGAAUUCGAUAGGAAUACAAAAUCAUACACGUUAAAUACUUAUAUUUCACAUAAGGAUAAUGGAUACGGAUUAACAUUAUAUAGUUAAGAAUAUGUCAUCCAAGAGUGGCCCAAGCAUAUGAAAUGCUAUAACAAACUCCCACUAACCCAAAAUAUAGAAGACUUAAUCAAAUAUAUAUAAAUCUGUCGUUGGUGGUUCUGCCAAUGAGUUUUUGAUUUUAUAAAAGUCAUGAAAUAUCCACAUAGGUCAAGUAAUCACUAACUUAUAGGGAUAGCCUAUUAAGAGAAUAAUUACUUUUAGUCAAAAUUAAUAAAUGUUCUACAAUAUUUGACAUUCAAUUAAUCCAAAUUUUAGCAAAAAUUGUGACUAUGAAAAUCAAUAAAGAAAUAGGAGAUUGAGGAAUCUCCAAUUGGAUUAACACAACCACUUAGUUUAAAGAAGAUAAGAUAUGGAUUAAUGUGGCCACAAGAAUGUCAAUAAUGAACAAAUUAUGAUUAUGCAAUUCAUAAGUACUUUAAGAACACAAUAUCAUACUCGAUAGGAGUAUUGAUAUUAUACGUAGUACUUACUAUUUAUGACCUUAUAGAAUGUGUAAUGUUAGUAAAAGAGAAACACAAUAUAUUUGCAUGCUAAGAGAUAAUUUUGCAUUUUCCAACAAAUUGACUUAAGCAUCUAAUUAUGAUGCUUACCGAGAUUAAAGAGUUGAUAUAUAUCUCAGUAUAGUAGAAUGAGACUGAAAUUUAAAGUCUCUUAAGUUAUGCCAUAUUUUAUUUAGCGCGCAAAAGUAUAUGGCAAGAGUGAGAUUAUAACUUUAAGUUUUAUGUUUAUAUCAUUGUGUACAUAUUUUCAUUGAUCUCACAUAUAUGAACAAGAGUGAAAUUUUUCAUUUGAGCUCAUAGUAUAAUAUUAUGUACACACUCCCAUUGAUCCCACAUAUAUAAACAAGAAUGAGUGGAAUUUUCUUUAGUGUUUUCAUCAGUGAUCACUGAUAUACAAAUAUUAUGAUAUGUAAUAUUUAACCGUGAGAUACUUGCUAGUGCAAAAUUAUAUGUAUAUAUGUGGUCAUAUUAUUUUAAUUCACUAAUAAAGUUUCACAAACUCAACCACAUAUUUGCACAUGCAACAGAAUUACUAAUACAAGUGGUAACUCGAUGAUAAUAUAAAAUCCAAUAUAUACGAAACUUUUCAAUGGCAUAUUUUAUCAAGUAUUGGAUUUAAUGGUUAACCAUAUAUUCUGCAUUUAGAAUUAAGGAGAUUGUUAAUUUUCACUUAACAAUUUAUAAUAUAAAUCUCCUUAUAACAAAUAAAAUUCUCAAAAGAAUUUUUAUAUAUAAAGUAGCUAUCAUAUAAAAGAGUAUGAUGAUCAUAUAUAAAAGAUUAAUCAUCAUAUGAGUGAGAUUAAGUCUCUAGUAUUAUAAAAUAGGGUAUGAGACUAUAUAUAUUAAAAGUUUAAUAACUCACCCAUAAAAUUCAAAUGCUACAAUUAUAGACACACACAUUUGAGAAAUAGUUUGGUUACACGCAGCGGAAAUACACGAGACUUAAGUUUUAUUAUUAUUGAGGAUAUAUGAGAGAAUAGUCAUUAACUUUCAUAAGUGUUGAAAAUAAUAAUAAUAAUAUUAAUAAUAAUAUGAAAUAUGCCAAAUAUAGUGAAAAUUGAAAAGUUGAAUAUCUCAAAUGUACAAUUUAAAACCAUUUAAAAUAAUGACAUAAAAUAAAUAGAAUUUUCUUGAUAAAGUUGUUAAGCAUUUGAGAUUUUGACAUAUUGCGUUUACAAAAUGAGUUUGCAAAAUUAUAUAAUGAUAUGGAAGUAUAUAAUAAUUUAUGAGAGAAGACUAUAUUUAAUAUCCUCAAUAUAAGUCUCUACGGUAGUUUUAUGUCUAGAAUUAUGAGACAAAUAAAUAUAUUUGUUUCUUAGCUAUAGUUAAUUUGCAUGUAGAAUUUUCCUCACUUGACAAAGAAUGAUAUUUAAAAUGGUGACAUAUUUUUCUUACACCAAUGAAAGGAUGAUCAUGUUAAGCAAUGUCAUACCCAUAGGGUAUGUCCAUUACGUCACACAAUACAUAGUGAGGAUUCUCCCACUUGAUAGAGAAUGAUAGUUGAAUUAAAAGUUUGAAAAUAUUUUAAAUAAAUAUUCAACUAUUUCUCUAUCACAUGAAGAUCGUGUUGAGUAACAUCACACUGAUAGGGUUAUGUCCGCCACUUAACAAAACCCAGGGAUAGAUGACAAUCCAAUUUUUAUUUUUAUUUUUAAAUAAAGUUUGAAUAAUUCAUUAAUUAAAAUUAGGGUAAUAUUGGAUUGCAAAAUUAAGAUAGUAGCUACAUGCGCUAUAAUAUAUUUAGUAAAAUUUCUUACUUAUUGUAAUAUGAUUCAAGGGUAUUAAGGAUAGUAAGUAAGAACUAUAACAUUUCAAUGUACGGUUCUUAUGUCACAACAUUUUAAUAGUGACAUAGUAUUUGAAAUAUAAGGAUAUAAAAUUAAAGUACAUUGAGUAAUAACGAACAUUAUAUUAACAACAACACACCGAUAGGGUAUGAUUGUUGUCGGUAUACUUUGCAUAAUUGUAUCCACGAUAGGUGAGAUUACAAUUAUACAAAUCAUUAAUGUUUUUGCUUAAAAGAAUAUGAUAAAAUAAUAUCAUGCAUAAACAAUCUAUUUAAUUUACUCAAUUUUAGUCAUAUUCAAGUAAUAGAAAAACAUGCUUAAAAGUAUGGAAAAUGUUAAACAGUGCACCCGAUGCACUAGUUAAGCAUACCAAAAAGGAAAUUUUAUCUUGAAAUAUGUGCAUUUAAUGUAUUGAAAGUGUAAAAAGUUGUUUUUAUCAACAUUAACUUUAUAUUUUAUUUCUAUUUUUAAUAUGCUUAACAAGUGCACCGGGUGCACUGUUUAACAUGACCCUAAAAGUAUUUUAAAUUAGCACAUCAUAAAUAUGACUUUAGAAUUUAUAUACGAAAGAGUAUGAUAGCAAGAGUUAUUAUUUAAAAUAAAAGUGUGUAAAAUAGUUUGUAUUUUAUCCAGAAUAUAACUCUUAGAAUAAAGUUUUAAAUACUUCCACUAUAACUUCGGGAUUUUUCUAUCAUGUGCAACUUUGUAUAUGUUAAUAAAUUCAAAAUAGUAAGUUUGCAUUGGAACUUGUGCAUUUCAUAUUAAAUAUUUAAUUUAUUUAAUAAAUAAUAAUAAUUUUUUAUUAAAUAGUUACUAUUUUUAGUUACUUUAACAUGUGCAAUAUUGUACAUGUUAGACAAACCCAUAACUUAAAUAUAAAUUAAAAAUGGAGUAUUAUUGUGAGAAAAAAUAUAUAUACAAUAAUUAUAGAGUUCUAUUUAGAAUUUUCUGGAAAAGGAUUCUACUUUUAUAUUUAUAUAAUUGCACAACAAGAGAAGAAGAAAUAAAUUUUUUCAUAGAUGCAAUAACAAGUAAUAAGUCACGAGAGGUUGAAAAAAUUUAAUUGAAUUGUGACUAACCUCAUAGAGUGUGACAUUCAUCAUUGUCCUUAGAGUCAUUGGCUUGUGAUGACUUUAACGAGUAUAUCAUUUGAUAAC
rnacentral:lncRNA from 1 species